GGCAGGGCCAGGAGCUUGGACUCGACCCCUGCAACCUCAACUAGGUGAGUACACACACACUCUGAGUGGACCUAGCAGUGAAGAGGUGGGGCCAGGAGCUGUGAAUCGACCCCUGUAACCAGAAAUAGGUGAGCACACAAUCCUCCUACCCCUACCUACCUUCCUACCUCUUUUACCCCCCUCCCUCCAACCUUUACCUCUACUACAGAUUUAUACACCCUCCAGGUCAUCCUCUCUAAAUGUCCUAACCCCCUCAUCAACCCCUCCUCAGCCUUCUGGAUUAUAUUUUAGUAACCCUGCACCUCCUCCUAAUCUCCAUGCUUUGAAUUCUCUGCAUUAGGGUUAUUACUGACCAGCAUUGUUAAUAUUUAACUAAACCCAUGGUAUUUGUUUUCCAGGGCAUUAACAAAGAACGAGCUGGACCAUUUAGUUUUAAGGAACUUAAAGAUUUUUGGAGUAGCGGCACCAUAAACCCAAAACGCUAUGUUGGGCACAGGGUAUGGAUGGCUGGCACCCUCUGAGUAGUAUACCCCAACUCAAGUGGUCUAUGGCUGCAACUGCUAAUGCAGUCAUGACAGAAAGUGACCUUGCAACCCUCAUCCUAAACAUGCUCAUCACCAUGUGUAGAUACUUUCCGUCACGGACAGACGACGGAGCAGUUAUACGUCCACUACCUCGCAUCAAGCGGCUGCUCUCUGACCCACUCUCUCUUCCACACAUUGUCCAAUUAUUUGCUCACUUUUGACCCAGUCCUAGUUGAAAAGGUUUCUACACUUUUAGUGGAGAUCAUGCAAGACAAUCCAAACAUUUCAACAGUGUACACAACAGGAGUAUUUUACUUCAUCCUCAUGUAUAUGGGCUCGAAUGUGCUGCCUAUUGGGCGAUUCCUCCACAUGUCUCAUAUGCAGCAGUCAUUCAGAGCAGAGGAGAACACUGGUGGAGACAUCAUGAACCAGAGUAUCUUGGGCCAGAUUCUUCCUGAGGCUAUGGUCUGCUAUCUUGAGAAUUAUGGUGCUGAUAAAUUUGCUGAGAUCUUUU